AUUGAACGCUGGCGGCAUGCCUUACACAUGCAAGUCGAACGGCAGCACGGGUACUUGCCCCUGGUGGCGAGUGGCGAACGGGUGAGUAAUACAUCGGAACAUGUCCUGUAGUGGGGGGUAGCACGGCGAAAGCCGGAUUAAUACCGCAUACGAUCUACGGAUGACAGCGGGGGACCUUGGGGCCUCGCGCUAUAGGGUUGGCCGAUGGCUGAUUAGCUAGUUGGUGGGGUAAAGGCCUACCAAGGCGACGAUCAGUAGCUGGUCUGAGAGGACGACCAGCCACACUGGGACUGAGACACGGCCCAGACUCCUACGGGAGGCAGCAGUGGGGAAUUUUGGACAAUGGGCGAAAGCCUGAUCCAGCAAUGCCGCGUGUGUGAAGAAGGCCUUCGGGUUGUAAAGCACUUUUGUCCGGAAAGAAAUCCUUGGCCCUAAUACGGUCGGGGGAUGACGGUACCGGAAGAAUAAGCACCGGCUAACUACGUG
rnacentral:rRNA from 1 species